rnacentral:rRNA from 1 species
AAUCAACGCUGGCGGCGUGCCUCAGACAUGCAAGUCGAACGCGAAAGUUCCCUUCGGGGGAUGAGUAGAGUGGCGCACGGGUGGGUAACACGUAGGUAAUCUACCUUUGGAUGGGGAAUAACAACCGGAAACGGUUGCUAAUACCGCAUAAUGCAGCGGCACCUAAUGGUGACAGUCGUUAAAACGGGGGAUCGAAAGACCUCGCGUCUGGAAGAGGAGCCCUGCGGCGGAUUAGCUAGUUGGAAGGUAACGGCUUACCAAGGCGACGAUCCGUAGCCGGCCUGAGAGGGCGGUCGGCACACUGACACUGACAUACGGGUCAGACUCCUACGGGAGGCAGCAGUCGGGAAUUUUGGGCAAUGGGCGAAAGCCUGACCCAGCAACGCCGCGUGAAGGAUGAAAUCCCUCGGGAU